AGAGUUUGAUCCUGGCUCAGAACGAACGCUGGCGGCGUGCCUAACACAUGCAAGUCGAACGGAUUUGAGGGGCUUGCUCCUCAAGUUAGUGGCGCACGGGUGAGUAACGCGUAGAUAAUCUGCCUGAUGAUCCGGGAUAACACUUCGAAAGGGGUGCUAAUACCGGAUAAGCCCACGGGGUCUUUGGAUUCUGCGGGAAAAGGGGGGGACCUUCGGGCCUUCUGUCAUCAGAUGAGUCUGCGUACCAUUAGCUAGUUGGUAGGGUAAUGGCCUACCAAGGCUACGAUGGUUAGCUGGUUUGAGAGAAUGAUCAGCCACACUGGAACUGAGACACGGUCCAGACUCCUACGGGAGGCAGCAGUGGGGAAUUUUGCGCAAUGGGCGAAAGCCUGACGCAGCAACGCCGCGUGAGUGAUGAAGGCUUUCGGGUCGUAAAGCUCUGUCGAGGGGAAAGAAGUGUAUUGUGGCUAAUAUCCGCGAUACUUGACGGUACCCCUAAAGGAAGCACCGGCUAACUCCGUGCCAGCAGCCGCG
rnacentral:rRNA from 1 species